rnacentral:rRNA from 1 species
UACGGAGGGUGCGAGCGUUAAUCGGAAUUACUGGGCGUAAAGCGUGCGUAGGCGGUGAGUUAAGUCAGAUGUGAAAGCCCCGGGCUCAACCUGGGAACUGCAUUUGAUACUGGCUCACUAGAGUUUAAUAGAGGGGAGUGGAAUUUCAGGUGUAGCGGUGAAAUGCGUAGAUAUCUGAAGGAACACCAGUGGCGAAGGCGACUCCCUGGAUUAAAACUGACGCUGAGGUACGAAAGCGUGGGUAGCAAACAGG